CGGCGAGUGAAGCGGCAACAGCUCAAAUUUGAAAUCUGGCCUCUCGGGGUCCGAGUUGUAAUUUGUAGAGGAUGUUUCGGGUACCGCCUCGGUUUAAAUUUCUUGGAACAGAAUGUCAAAGAGGGUGAGAAUCCCGUCUUGGACCGGUGGUAGGGCCUAUGUGAAACUCCUUCGACGAGUCGAGUUGUUUGGGAAUGCAGCUCAAAAUGGGUGGUAAAUUUCAUCUAAAGCUAAAUAUUGGCCAGAGACCGAUAGCGCACAAGUAGAGUGAUCGAAAGAUGAAAAGCACUUUGAAAAGAGAGUUAAACAGUAUGUGAAAUUGUUGAAAGGGAAGCGCUUGCAACCAGACUUGAGCGCGGCGGUUCCCCCUUGCUUCUGCUUGGGCUACUCCGCCGUGUCCAGGCCAACAUCGGUUCUGGGGGUCGGUUAAAGGCUCUGGGAAUGUAUCUACUCACGGGUAGACUUAUAGACCAGGGUGUCAUGCGACCUCCCGGGACCGAGGAACGCGCUUCGGCUCGGAUGUUGGCGUAAUGGUUGUCAGCGACCCGUCUUGAAACACGGACCAAGGAGUCUAACAUCUAUGCGAGUGUUUGGGUGUCAAACCCGGAACGCGGAAUGAAAGUGAACGGAGGUAGGAAGCUUCGGCUGCACUAUCGACCGAUCCUGAAGUUUACGGAUGGAUUUGAGUAAGAGCAUAGCUGUUGGGACCCGAAAGAUGGUGAACUAUGCCUGAAUAGGGUGAAGCCAGAGGAAACUCUGGUGGAGGCUCGCAGCGGUUCUGACGUGCAAAUCGAUCGUCAAAUUUGGGUAUAGGGGCGAAAGACUAAUCGAACC
rnacentral:rRNA from 1 species